ensembl:snRNA U6 U6 spliceosomal RNA
GUGCUCGUUUCGGCAGCACAUAUAUGAAAAUUGGAAGGAUACAGAGAAGAUCGGCAUGGCCCCUGUGCAAGGAAGACACGCAAAUUGGUGAAACAUUCCAUAUUUUU